rnacentral:rRNA from 1 species
GACGAACGCUGGCGGCGUGCCUAAUACAUGCAAGUCGAACGAGAGCACCCGGUGCUUGCCCUGGUCAAUCUAGUGGCGAACGGGUGAGUAACACGUGGGUAACCUGCCCAUCAGAGGGGGAUAACAUCCGGAAACGGAUGCUAAAACCGCAUAGGUCUUCGAACCGCAUGGUUUGAAGAGGAAAAGAGGCGCAAGCUUCUGCUGAUGGAUGGACCCGCGGUGCAUUAGCUAGUUGGUGAGGUAACGGCUCACCAAGGCCGUGAUGCAUAGCCGACCUGAGAGGGUGAUCGGCCACAUUGGAACUGAGACACGGCCCAAACUCCUACGGGAGGCAGCAGUAGGGAAUCUUCCGCAAUGGACGCAAGUCUGACGGAGCAACGCCGCGUGAGUGAAGAAGGUCUUCGGAUCGUAAAACUCUGUUGUUAGAGAAGAACAAGUGCUAGAGUAACUGUUAGCGCCUUGACGGUAUCUAACCAGAAAGCCACGGCUAACUACGUG